rnacentral:misc_RNA from 1 species
GGCCGGUUAUCCACCUCUACACGUUGAUAUGCAGAUUUUGCAUCCUCAAGUUUAGUUUCACAAGCGCGCUUAGCUGCCUCCUCAAAAUCCACAGGAUGAACUUUGGCAACAGGUAGAGCAGGAUCAAUAAAACCAGCCUCAGCAGCCCUGUCAAAAAAGAAAAAAAGAAUGAAGCAACAAACAUAUUUUUUUGUCCAUCCCCACCUCCACCAU